rnacentral:lncRNA from 1 species
UGCUUCUGAUGAUCUAUUCCCUCUUCAUUUUGUUGUUUUGCUUUCAAAGUUUCAAUAGGAAUCUUUCUGGGGACUAUUCAACACCUGAGCAGCACAACUCAUUCAUCUGAAGUUCUGAACCAAAAGCUCUCAUCUUUCAGUGGGCUAACUUAAGACUUUAAUCUUUCCACCCAUUUUUGCUUGGAAGCUGCAAUUGAAAUUUCCCAACAGGAAUUAAAUUAAAUAAAUUUGUAAAAUGGGUUGUGGUGCCUUUAUGGUGGAAAUCACUAUCAGACAUAGAGAAUAUGAAGAGAGAAUAGUUGGGAGGAAGUAG